GCGGGUUGGGUGUUUAUACACGCUAGCCCUUCAAGCUAGAGUUGCAGGAGCAAUCCGUG
rnacentral:tRNA from 1 species